rnacentral:rRNA from 1 species
AGAGUUUGAUCCUGGCUCAGAACGAACGCUGGCGGCGUGGUUUAGGCAUGCAAGUCGGACGGUUCUAACGAAAGUCGUUAGGAUAGUGGCAAAAGGGUGAGUAACACAUGGGUAAUUUACCUUCGAAUCUGGGAUAAUUCGUCGAAAGGUGGACUAAUACCGGAUAAGACCACAUGAUCGCAUGGUCAAGGGGUAAAAGGUGAUUAUCGGCUUCGGUCGGAAAUUACCGUUUGAAGAUAAGCCCGUGUCCUAUCAGCUUGUUGGUAAGGUAACGGCUUACCAAGGCAUUUGACGGGUAGCUGGUCUGAGAGGAUGGUCAGCCACACUGGGACUGAGACACUGCCCAGACUCCUACGGGAGGCUGCAGUCGAGAAUCUUUCGCAAUGCCCGAAAGGGUGACGAUGCGACGCCGCGUGAGCGAUGAAGGCCUUCGGGUUGUAAAGCUCUGUUAGGUCGGAUGAAACGCCGACGCAAGUCGGAAUUGACAGUACGACCAGAGGAAGCCACGGCUAACUCCGUGCCAGCAGCCGCGGUAAUACGGGGGUGGCAAGCGUUGUUCGGAUUUAUUGGGUGUAAAGAGCAUGUAGGUGUCCUGCCAAGUUUUCGGUGAAAUCCUUAGGCUUAACCUAAGAACUGCCGGAAAAACUGACGGGAUUGAGUAUGGGAGAGGAGAGUGGAAUUCCCGGUGUAAGGGUGAAAUCUGUAGAUAUCGGGAGGAACACCAGUAGCGAAGGCGACUCUCUGGCCCAACACUGACACUGAGAUGCGAAAGCUAGGGUAGCGAACAGGAUUAGAUACCCUGGUAGUCCUAGCCGUAAACGAUGGGUACUAGGUGUAUGUCCUUAAUGGAUGUGUGCCGCAGCUAACGCAUUAAGUACCCCACCUGGGGAGUACGACCGCAAGGUUGAAACUCAAAGGAAUUGACGGGGGCCCGCACAAGCGGUGGAGCAUGUGGUUUAAUAGGAUGCUACGCCUGGAACCUUACCAGGGCUUGACAUGCUGGAAGUAGAAACCUGAAAGGGGGACGACCUGUCAAACCAGGAACCAGUGCAGGUGUUGCAUGGCUGUCGUCAGCUCGUGUCGUGAGAUGUUGGGUUAAGUCCCUCAACGAGCGCAACCAUCGUUCUUAGUUGCCACCAUUCCGGCUUUAUGUCGGGAAGAGCACUCUAAGGAGACUGCCCGCUCUAAGCGGGAGGAAGGUGAUGAUGACGUCAAGUCAGUACGGCCCUUACGCCCUGGGCAACACACGUGCUACAAUGGCCUGUACAAAGGGUUGCCAAACCGUGAGGUGGAGCUAAUCCCAAAAAGCAGGUCUCAGUUCGGACUGAAGGCUGCAAUUCGCCUUCAUGAAGUUGGAAUCGCUAGUAAUGGCAGAUCAGCUACGCUGCCGUGAAUACGUUCCCGGGCCUUGUACAUACCGCCCGUCAAGUCACCUGAGUCGAGUGCACCCGAAACCACUGGCCCAACCUUAAUGUUUACAUUAAGGAGGGAGGUGUCUAAGGUGUGUUUGGUAAGGGGGGCUAAGUCGUAACAAGGUAACC